rnacentral:hammerhead_ribozyme from 1 species
AUCCAGCUGACGAGUCCGAAACGGGACAAAACGCACUUCUUGGAU